rnacentral:lncRNA from 1 species
UUUUUUUGUUUUGUUUUGUUUUGUUUUUUUUGCUUUUUACACCUGCGGCAUACGGAGUGGCUCAAGAAAAGGCAAAAAGACAAAAACAAACAAACAAACAAAAAAAACCCCAUCCAGAUAUAACCACUCUUGCACUUUGUUUUAUAUACUUCCAAAAAUUCUAAGAACCUAUAAGCACAGAUUUUUACAAAAAUGGGAUUAAUCAUGCACAUUGGCCUGAAAUUUCCUUUUUAAGCUCACCAUUAGAUUAGGAGACUGUUUUCAACUACAUUACAAUUCAUCUGUCUUAUUUCUCUGGAACCAAAGAAAAAAUGUCUUUGGAUAAUUUUAACAUGUAUUCAUCAUAGAAAAAGUAAAUUACUGACCAGAAACAUUAUCAAGUAAGUUUUCAUUAUUUAUGCUAGGCACCUCAAAAAUCAGUGCUGAAGAAAUCUUAAAUUAGAAUAACAGGAGACUACUGGUUAGAUAAUCAUAAAAGAAAAUAAAUUCUGGAAAUACCAUAUAUUACUCAAAUCAAAAAGUCAUGAGCCGUGCUCUUACUUUUACCUGUAUAAUUAAUAUAAAACAUGUAUUAGGUUUAUACUUUUCUCUUUAAUUCUGUCAGUUCUUGGCCAGGAGACGCAUACACAAAAAAAAUCAUUUUUCUUAUGCAUGUUAUAUAAUAUUAGUUUUGGCUUUAUUCUUUUCUCUUCUACAUAACAGUGAAAACCUUACUGAGCUCUGCUAUUAAGUGCUACCAAGAAGUACCAGUAAUUUCACUGUCUUGACAUCAGAUCUUUAAAAAAUAAUCUCUUUGGAGUGUUACUGUGGAGCCAAGCAAAUACCGCCUUUCAAGAUUACCAAAGACCAUUGAAAUGCUGUUCUCACUCAUACUUAGAGAAGCCCCAGAGGGUAGUGGGCUUAGGAGAAAGCUACUGAAUUCCAGGAAAUGGAAAAUACCCAUAUAUUUUGGAGUGGUUUGAACUCAGUGUAGUUUGCCAGGAAAGUUAUCAUAUUGUAGGCCACAGAACUGAUUUUGUUUUAACAUUGUCCUCAAAUCCUCUCUCUCACUGCAAAGUUCAUCCUGGUCCUCAGUUCAUGGCCUAUUAAUGUUAUCAGUCUGCAAGGUCCUUUUUUUUUUUCUUGUUUCUUUUUUAUUUCCAUUUCUCAUUCCCAUCCAACUCUACCCACCUAGCUUAGUAGCUGGGAAUAACACAUCUGUUUUAAGAUAUAAUUCUUCUAGGUGUGACCUUAUACCACCACACUGUUCUACAGGUUUGGCACUUCCACAAGAACUGAGUUUCUUCCAGUAUCCAACCAUCCAAAUGCUAUGUAGCUUUUACUUAUAUGUAUGUUUGACUAUAAUCUUGAUUAAUAACUUUUAAAUUAUUACCAUAGCCUGCCUCUGGAAACAGACUGUCUUCUGCUACUCCCCCUUUCAUUUGUUCUGAUUUUGCACUACUCAUCCUGCAGAUGUUUUAUGUCCUUCUGUUACCCCAGGGCCCUGGAAGGUCAUGGACUUUUAAAGCUUUCCACUCUCUAAGCAUCAUUGCCAUGAUACGGAUUUUCUCUGCCCCUUUUCUUCCAACAUAGAUGUGAUUCUGUAGUUUUUUUUUUUCCUUUCCAGAGAAAUGGCAAAAUAACAUGAUGAAUUAGUCUAUGAUGGCAUCUUAAAGACUUUCAGUCUCUGCUCAUCAUCUUGGCUCCUCUCCAGAGAAUGAGCAGUACUAUUUCAGACUGGCUGCUGGUUAGUACAAAUAAUUACCUAGGUCUUCACUGGAAGCUUUUUGGUUUUUUGUUUGUUUUUCUUGGGGACACAUUCCAUUGCUUCUUUUUUUUCCUUGGUUCUACCAUUUAUUCUCUAGCACAUUUAAUUUGUCAGUCCUCCAAUUUUUUUUGCCAUCUCUACAUAUUUCCUUAUACCAGCGAGCAUUAUAUCUCAAAUUGCCUAUGGAUCAUUUUUAUCCAUUUCAUAACCAACACCAACAGUUUGUAAUAAAUCCCCAAAGCUGGCAGCUCACUGGUCUCAUACACCCUGUAUAUAUUCCUGUUUUUUGGUGGACCCUCCAUUAUCUUUCUCACCUCCUAAACCCAACAUGUGCUGGUUAUUUUGUGGGUUUUACUUUUUACCUAAUUCACUGCUAAAUCCUGAUCCCUCUUUCUUCCUUCAUUUCUCAAAUAUCUCCUUUCCUCUCCAAAUUAUUAAAGUCCUGAUAACCUGCUUUUCUCAACUGGGACAACUUCAGCAUCCUUCUCUUUAAACUUUUCUCCAACAGUUUCUCAUUUUCUGCCUUUUGAAGAAAGAAGUGUGAGAGAGAAGAAAACACAUUGGAUUGAUGAUAAGAAAUUUAUUUGGCUUCCCAUUUUACAUUAUCUGGCUAGCAAGUCUAGAGAAGGUUUCCUGUGACUUGGUUUAUUUAUCGCUACACAUGAAGACUGCAUGCAAGAAAGAACGGCUAUAGGAAUUACGCUUCCACAAUGAAUUUCUACUGGGACCAUAUCCUGCACUUUCCUGAUCACAUACUAUCUUCUAAUCCUCUAGAUGCUCAAGAGAAGUGCAGAAUCAUUGACAAGGGUCCAGUUUGGAUGUUUGCAGUUGCCCAUUUGCUCUGUGUAUUCUCCUUUGCUCAUUUCAUCUCUUCUCUGCCUUGACCACCUGCUCCUCUUGGUGCAAGGCCCUACCUCACAUUCAUAGGUUCCCCAAU